rnacentral:rRNA from 1 species
AUUGAACGCUGGCGGCAUGCUUUACACAUGCAAGUCGAACGGCAGCGCGGGCUUCGGCCUGGCGGCGGGUGGCGAACGGGUGAGUAAUACAUCUGAACGUGCCCAGUAGUGGGGGAUAGCUCGGCGAAAGCCGGAUUAAUACCGCAUACGACCUGAGGGUGAAAGCGGGGGAUCUUCGGACCUCGCGCUAUUGGAGCGUCCGAUGGCAGAUUAGCUAGUUGGUGGGGUAAAGGCCUACCAAGGCGACGAUCUGUAGCUGGUCUGAGAGGACGACCAGCCACACUGGGACUGAGACACGGCCCAGACUCCUACGGGAGGCAGCAGUGGGGAAUUUUGGACAAUGGGCGAAAGCCUGAUCCAGCAAUGCCGCGUGUGUGAUGAAGGCCUUCGGGUUGUAAAGCACUUUUGGCGGGAACGAAAAGGACUGUGCCAAUACCACGGUUCGAUGACGGUACCCGCAGAAUAAGCACCGGCUAACUACGUG